AUUGAACGCUGGCGGCAGGCCUAACACAUGCAAGUCGAGCGGCAGCACGGUGAUUGCUCGCUGUUUCGGGUGGCGACUGGCGGGUGAUGCAUAGGUAUAUCCCUGUCUAUUUUUUCUUAGGUCCGGACGCAGGCGCUCAUACCGUAUUCGCCCAUACGGCGAACGGGUGGGAUCUUCGGACCUCCCGAUCUUAGGUGAUUCUAGGUCGGAUUAGCUAGUUGGCGGGGUAAAGGGCUACCAAGGCGACGAUCCGUAGCUGGUCUGAGAGGAUGACCAGGCACACUGGAACUGAGACACGGUCCAGACUCCUACGGGAGGCAGCAGUGGGGAAUAUUGGACAAUGGGCGAAAGCCUGAUCCAGCCACGCCGCGUGGGUGAAGAAGGUCUUCGGAUUGUAAAGCACUUUUAGUGGGGAAGAAAAGCAGUAGGUUAAUACCUUGCUGUUUUGACGGUACCAAAAGAAUAAGCACCGGCUAACUUCGUG
rnacentral:rRNA from 1 species